AUGUUCUCUCAUGAUGAUCCUAAACUGACUGUCUAUUUAUUGAUCCUAAAUGUUUUCUCUACAAAUGUAUCAUUCGAAACUCUGACUCAGCCAGCAUCUUUAACUGUGCAGCCAGGUCAACGUCUGACCAUCAGAUGUCAGGUCUCUUAUGAUCUGGGCAGCUACUACACAGCUUGGAUCAGACAGGCUGCUGGAAAAGGACUGGAAAGACUGGAAUGGAUUGGGAUAAAAAAUAGCUAUGGAAACUCAUACUACAAAGAUUCUUUGAAGAACAAGUUUAGCAUUAAUUUAGACACUUCCAGUAAAACAGUGACUUUGAAUGGAGAGAAUAUGCAGCCUGAAGACUCUGCUGUGUAUUACUGUGCCAGAGAGUCACAGUGA